AACGCUUCGACACGAAUUUCGGUUGUACAUGUUUUAAAUGGUUGACAUUCGAUUAUAAAAAUUUUAUGUACGAGUAGUAAUCAGUUUUUAACCAGUAAAGUACAGUUUAUGAUAUAAUAUUAUAUGGUAUGUUAUAGCAGUGGUUGAGAUUUAAAAGCGGCGUUGUUUAAAUUAAUUGCAAGAGUUUCGCUAGACAGGGCCGAAUUAACAGGGCACUAUAGGUACUGUG